AGAAGACGUUCUUCUAACUUUUUUGAGAGUGAAUUCUUAACUUCGAGAUCAAUCCAACUAAUUUUUGAAUCGAGGCAUGUAACUAGCAAUGUGUGGAUUUUGAUCCUACUGGUAUCUUAGGAUCCCAGGCGACAAACCAAACGUCUACAACCAUGCAGGAAGAUGAAA